rnacentral:lncRNA from 1 species
AAAAGUCAGAUUUUGGUGCCCCUAAAACUCCAAGAAGAUCCGUGAAUGUGCAGCUCUUUCUUUGUCCAAGUGAUUGUCCAAGUUGUCUUGAGCUUGUGUGGUGAAUCUAUGAAGGUUUGGCAAGAUUUUUGAGGUGAAGUUUGUAGAGGAAAUGUUUGAGAAGUUUUCGGUUGUUUUUGUAGUGGCUAGCCGUCCAUGAAGCUUGCAAAAGUGAAAUGUUAGUCUGACUCCUUUUGCGUACAAAGAACGCU